rnacentral:rRNA from 1 species
UACGUAGGGGGCAAGCGUUGUCCGGAUUUAUUGGGCGUAAAGAGCGUGUAGGCGGCUAGGUAGGUCCGUUGUGAAAACUCGAGGCUCAACCUCGAGACGCCGAUGGAAACCAUCUGGCUAGAGUCCGGAAGAGGAGAGUGGAAUUCCUGGUGUAGCGGUGAAAUGCGCAGAUAUCAGGAAGAACACCCGUGGCUAAGGCGGCUCUCUAGUACGGUACUGACGCUGAGGAGCGAAAGCGUGGGGAGCAAACAGG